GCACCGACGGCGGAAGUGACCGACGCGCACGCCCGAUAAGCGUGUUAUUAGCAGGUUUGAGUCCUGCUCGGUGUACCA
rnacentral:tRNA from 1 species